rnacentral:rRNA from 1 species
UACAGAGGUCCCAAGCGUUGUUCGGAUUCACUGGGCGUAAAGGGUGCGUAGGCGGCUUGAUAAGUCGGGGGUGAAAGCCUGUGGCUCAACCACAGAAUUGCCUUCGAUACUGUCGAGCUUGAGACCGGAAGAGGUAAGUGGAACUGCGAGUGUAGAGGUGAAAUUCGUAGAUAUUCGCAAGAACACCAGUGGCGAAGGCGGCUUACUGGUCCGGUUCUGACGCUGAGGCGCGAAAGCGUGGGGAGCAAACAGG